rnacentral:rRNA from 1 species
GAUGAACGCUGGCGGCGUGCUUAACACAUGCAAGUCGAGCGAAGCGCUUAAACGGAUUUCUUCGGAUUGAAGUUUUUGUGACUGAGCGGCGGACGGGUGAGUAACGCGUGGGUAACCUGCCUCAUACAGGGGGAUAACAGUUAGAAAUGGCUGCUAAUACCGCGUAAGCGCACAGGACCGCAUGGUCUGGUGUAGAAAAACUCCGGUGGUAUGAGAUGGACCCGCGUCUGAUUAGCUAGUUGGAGGGGUAACGGCCCACCAAGGCGACGAUCAGUAGCCGGCCUGAGAGGGUGAACGGCACAUUGGGACUGAGACACGGCCCAGACUCCUACGGG